ensembl:snoRNA
AAGACUAUACUUUUAGGGAUUAUUUCUAUAGUUUGUGACUUGAGAAAUGGGUUUAUAAAGUGUAUGGUCUCGCUGAUCAUGAUGAAGAGUUGGUUAUACUCCUUCUUGAACAUGAAGAAAGUAGAUACUUGGUUCAUUCAUGUUCUCUGAUGUUACUGAUGACUGUUCACUGUUUCUUCUACAGACCCUGAAUGAAAGAGUAUGAUCUGAGUGGUC